rnacentral:rRNA from 1 species
UACGUAGGGGGCGAGCGUUGUCCGGAAUUAUUGGGCGUAAAGCGCGUGUAGGCGGCCCUGUAAGUCGGUUGUGAAAGCCUGGAGCUCAACUCCAGAAUUGCAUCCGAUACUGCAGGGCUUGAGGCAGGUAGAGGAAAGUGGAAUUUCCGGUGUAGCGGUGGAAUGCGCAGAUAUCGGAAGGAACACCGAUGGCGAAGGCAGCUUUCUGGGCCUUGCCUGACGCUGAGACGCGAAAGCGUGGGGAGCAAACAGG